AUUGAACGCUGGCGGCAGGCCUAACACAUGCAAGUCGAACGAGUGGCGGACGGGUGAGUAAUGUCUGGGAAACUGCCUGAUGGAGGGGGAUGAAUACUGGAAACGGUAGCUAAUACCGCAUACCAUCGGAUGUGCCCAGAUGGGAUUAGCUAGUUGGUGGGGUAACGGCUCACCAAGGGAACGAUCCCUAGCUGGUCCGAGAGGAUUACCGGCCACACUGGAACUGAGAGACGGUCCAGACCCCUACGGGACGCAGCAGUGGGGAAUAGGGCACAAUGGGCGCAAGCCUGAUGCACACCUGCCGCGUGUGUGAAGAAGGCCUUCUGGUUGUAAAGCACUUUCAUCGGGGAGGCGUUACCCGCAGAAGAAGCACCGGCUAACUCCGUGCCAGCAGCCGCGGUAAUAC
rnacentral:rRNA from 1 species